CAGCAAUGAAACGGUCCCUGGGGUUUGAAAGGCAACAUCCAACUCGAGAGGUUUGGGAAAUGUGCUUUGGAGCUGACCCGGACCGCUGUCUGACCGCCCCGACCUUCCUCAGCAGGUGAUGGUCUGCACAACCUUGGCACUCAGAUUUGUGCUCAAAGAGAAGAAGAACACCCCCAGCCUAGAAGUACGAGUGCAUCCCAGGUCCAUGCCAGGAUGACACCUUUGCGCAACUCUUUUCACCCUGCUCCUGAUUUCCCUGGGGUAUGGUACAAAAAGGAACCAUAGGAUGUUCCAGGUAAAUGUCACCACCACCUGCCCUGCAGUUUAGAUGUAGCCAACAAGAACUCCUAGUUCCACUGGAGAAACAUUUAUUCAGUAGAAUACCUUCAAGUAUAUUUCCUUCUUCAUUUCUGAAAAUGAGCUCUAAUAGCUUUUUCUGGAAGUAGCCAAGAGGCUAUUGAAUGCUGCAACUAGACACUGAAAGAUUUCUUAGGACUUUUUUUUUUAACAACUACAAAGUACGAACUUGGUUAUGGAGCAUUGAAUUGAAUUAAUUUUUGAAAUGGCGCUGAGCAGGGAUUAUGGUAGAUAUGAUUAACAUAUGUCACUGUCCCUGUCGAUUUGCCAGAGGCAGUGAUAGUAUAAAUAGAAACUGAUUUUUUGGUCAAAAGUAAAGAAUGAGCUUGAAACGUUGAGUCAUGGUAAAUACCAUAUAGGAAAAGUAUGGGCACAGAGCUGAGACCUGGGGGUGGCUCAUAAAAUGAGACUUCUUUAGCAAGUAUUAGUAAUAGCUUAAAUAUUGUGUUAUAAAAUGUAAGUCUUUGUUAUGCUGGUGAGAGAUAGGGACUCCUUUUUUUCCUAGAAAAAAAUUGGUUAGGAAUUCUAAGAUCAUCUUUAUUGUAUUUGUGGAUCCUGCAAUUUCAUAUUAAAACACUUCCGAAGAGUGA